GAUGCUCACUAGUUUCGAUUUCGAUUUGGUCAACAUGUCUCGUAUUUUACGGAUAAUUACAUAAUGUUCAUGAAACUGUAAUUAUUAAUAGGUUAAUGCAGUAUCAUGGCCAUCAUGUUAUCGUGUUAAAAGAGAAUCCGAGAGAAAUACUGUAUUUGGUCAAUGACGGAUAACGAAUAUUUUUUGGUAGGCUAUGGAUCUGCUCAAGAGUUUCCUUUGCAUUCUUUGUGUAUUUGGACUGCGGCAUAACAAAGAAACAGCCACAGAAAAAGAACAAGGCCCUGAUGAGUGGAGUUAGUGAAGUUACUGCACCGUCUGUGUAUUUGCACUGCUCAUAAGCAAAGUUUCCCUGCAGGUUGUGGGUAUUAUUGGAGGUUCUGUUUUGUUGCCAUGUGCUUCCAAUGAUACUAAGCACGAACGUCCUGACAUUAAUGUGUGUUGGAGACACAAUGGCACCCUGAAUGUGUACGACAUAACCAAAGGCAACUGUUCAGAAAAGCUUCAAAAGGCAGACUACAAGAACAGAGCUAAAGUUUUCCCUGAUGAGUAUGAGAAUGGAAACUUUUCCCUCAAACUAAACGAUCUUAUUCCCACUGAUGCAGGAGAGUACCAAUGCUUCAUCUUACAUUCAUCUGAACUUGUGAAAGUUCAGCUUCUUGUCAAUGUCUCAAAAGCAGGAAAUGGAGACCAACCAGCAGAAACGAGGCGUAUUUGGAUAUCAAUUUUGGUGCUUCCUUUUGUUUUUUUGCUUUUCUUUAUUGUUUGUGUUGUCAUUAUAUGGAAGAAAAGAGAUUAUAAAACCUCUGGUUCAAAAAUGUCUGCUCCUGGAAGGAACCCGUCUGGUAACAGUUUGUUCAAACCCUUAUCAAACACAUCUGAACCAGCUAAAUAAGUCAUUAUUCAGGGCAUUAGACUAAGGCUACGUUUACACGUGUGCGGUUAUUUUUAUAAACGUACAUUUUAACCACUCCAGUUUCAAAAAUAAUAUCGUGCACACAUGUCAGUUUUCAGAAAAGUGUUCAUGUACACGUACCCGUGCAUAUAUGUCUUCAAGAGAAGCUCAAGCCCACGUAAGCCAAUCACCGUCAGCGCUGGUGGUUACGCGAACUGGUUCUUCGUGUUGGAGGGAGGAGUUGUUGCAGUAGGUGUUCGAUGAUGUCAUAGUACCUUGAGAGCGAUUAGAAAUUAGACCUCUACGUGUGAUUUCUCAACUCGGUCUCGCGGUAAGUUGACAUCAUCCGUCUGUCGGUUCUUAUAGUGCCGCAUAAAGCAGAACACGCAUAAAAUUGCUGACCUCCACGUCUCUGCUCCUCGACAUAAUGGAGCAGCUGUAUUUGCAAUUACAAACACACGAAAUGAGUUUGCACGAACAUAAAUGUGAACAUGGAAGCGUUCAGAGUAGCAGUCACAUGUAAACAUGGGUCGCACUUUUGACGUAGGUGCGAGCUCUGGCGCAUACUCUGACGUUGGCCGCCUAAACAUCAAUUUGUCUCAGUUUACAUGCAACCGUGCAUCUGAAGAUUUUCAAGAUCUCCACUCUGGCUGGAGUUUUUAGAAACAAUCGGUUUCAGAGGCGAGUUCUCCGUUUGCGUGUAAACGAGGGGCACAAACGAAGGUAAAUCUCUCCAUUUUUCAAAAUAACCAUGUACGUGUAAACAUAGCCUAACAAAUAAGUCUACAGCAGGGCUAUUCUAAUCUUACCCUGGACGUCCAGAGCACUGCAUAGUUUAGCUCCAACCCUGAUCAAACACACCUGAUUAAGCUAAUCAAGGUCUUCAUGAUCACUAGACAAUCACAGGUGGGUAAGUUUGAUUAGGGUUGGAGCUAAACUAUGUAGUGUUCCGGCCCUCCAGGGUAAGAUUUGAAUAGCUCUGGUCUACAGGUUACUGUUUCAGCACACAAUUUUUUGUGUGUUUCUUAAUUAUAGGAUUUAUUACUGCUGCGCAAAUGAAAUCUGUAAGUAAAGCCAUCUGCUCUGUGCCUGCUUGGGCUGUUCAGAAAACUAUUCUUUAAUUAGUUUUUUCUCCAAAAAAAUGAACUGCUUUGAAUAACCAAGAUUUUGCAACUGUUCUUAUCUCCAUCUAGGGAUCUGUUAUUUAAAAAAUACAGGCAGGUUUGUUUUAUUAGGGUUGGUAGCUAAAUUCUGCUGGACAUUAUUCCUCUAGGAGCAAGACUAGAACCCCCUAAUGUUAACAAUAUCAAACUUACAUUCUAUUCUGCUUCUGAGUAGUAGGGAUGCAGGCAUGUUCAAUCCCAGAGCAUGCAGAUUUUUUUGGCAGUUAGGCCUUAGUUUAAUUUUUGAGUUCCAACCACAUGAAUGACCAAACAAUGUCAUAUUGACAAGUAUGGAAACUAGAAUUAUAGAAGAUAUUCAUGUCGAGUUGAAAAUUGAGAUUGGAGGGGGUGUAUUAACAUAAAGUUGGACAUUUCAGUUUUGGUGCUGCAUUUCAAUACUACAGUUUGUUAGAUGCAACAGCAUUUGUAGUUAGUAACGUCAAUAAGCCUAUCAAGCUAAUGACCCACAUUUCACAGUUUGCUUUUAAGCAAAUUAAUAUAAAUUAAUAAUCUUUGCGUUUCCCAACAUAGUAUUUUUGCUAAGUAAGGAUAUAUGUUGCCACAGUUGCCUUGGUAAAACGAAUGACCUAUAAACUAGCUUACUCCUAGUUAACUUAAUGAACUAGCUAACACCUAGCUUCGGUACUGUUUCUACUUGUUAAUGUAGCGUUUUAUACUGUUGACUCUUAUUUAUAAGUUGCUUUGGAUAAGUCUUCUAAAUAAAAAAAUGUAGCUGAUCUGUUAUUUAUCAAGUUUUAAGUUUCAAGUUUAUUGAUUAGUGCUGUACGAAGUCACCUAUGUCCAUCACCAAUAAUUAAAAAUAAACAUUAAACGCACAAGAAAACAGAGAGGUUUUCAAAAGACUUUUGAACUCAGACUUUGUGGGUGCUGUUUUGAUAGAUAAAGGCAAAUUGUUCCAAAACUUUGGGCCAGCAACUACCAAGGAUCUGUCCCUCAUGCAUCUCAGUCUAGAUCUGGGUACCCGUAACAGAUUACUGGUCUGUGAUCUGACCAAAUUAUGCUCAGUAAACAACUCUGACAGGUAUUGAGGAGCGAGAUUGUUUAAGGCUUUGUAGAAAAACCAUUUUAAAUUCAAUACGAUAUUAAAUCGGUAGCCAGUGCAAUGAACGUAAAAUAUUAUAUUAUUUAUAAAAAUGUAUAAUCUCGGUUACAAAUUAGCAACAUUCUUAUUACUGUUACACGGUGUUCAACUUGAUAGAACAACCUUUCGUGUUUAUAGUUUUUUUUAAAUUAAUAUUUCAGGUCCUAGAUUUGGUCUUUGAUUUUUUGUAUUCUCCACUGCCACAGUUGUUUUUCACCCGAAGUCUAUGGAAAUUGAGAAACUGUAAUUUUUAGGAAUAUUGUGGUGUGUUUUUUUUUUUUUACAAAUUACUUAUCUUUGAGAUUCUUUUUUUUUAAUUCAUGUGCCCUCAUAAUCUUUAUUCAAAAAUGCAAAUAUCCCCUCCUCAAAAUGAUCUCUCUUCCAGUCGUAUGAUAUGGCAGUCUAAUAACUUGAAUUUCCUGUGUCAUGUGCACUCUACGUUCCUUUCUAUUGUACAUUUUCAAAGUCUUGUUAUACACAGUAAUUUCAGGACACUUUCGGUUAGGUUUUGGGAAUAAUUUUCAUAGUAGUGGUUCAAUUAUAUAUUUAUGUAUAAAUAUCUUAAAGGCAUGUUUUGGUGCAACAUACUGUACGUUUUUUCAUCUAAAAUAAAACUGUCUACGCAUUUGAUUGAAUUAUUCUUUAGAAAUGUGAGCAGUGUCACCAACAUGUGGUCACAGCAGUUUUUUCGCAAUUUCAACCUAAUAUUUUCUGUCAUAUUUUUCUUAUACAGUAAAACACAGACAGUUUAGUUUUAAAGACACAUUAAUUUUACUGUCAAAUGUCUGUGAUGCAUAAGUUAUAAACAGUGGUAACUCAGGUCUGUAAACUGAAAGCCUUAAAGGGAUACUUCUUCCAGAAAUGAAAAUAACCCACAAGCGGAUUGUAAGGAACAUGCAUAUUCUUAUUUGUUUUCCACCAGUUUUGACCAAAAAUGACGUCACUGCACAUGCGCAGUAGGAACAAAUAUAAACCAGAUAAAUAUAAUACACACAACAGGAACUGAAUUAUUAACAAACCUUAUUGUACCAAAAUUACAUAAU